AGGUAUGACGGAAUGACAGAUUCCACACGGUGACAUCGGUGAGUCCGUACAUGAAGUAAGAGAAAAAGAAGAACAAAUAUGCUAGAGAAAAAUGCAGGUCAUGUCGUAAAUACGAUAGAUGUUUAAAGAGAAGCAGUGAAAUUUAUUAUAAUACGGUGAAUAUUUGUUAUUUUAGCUAUCUAGUGAAUUAUUACUUGGCAGUUAUCAGGAGUGAAACCUAAAAUUAUAUACUUGCACUUAACCUAAAUUUCCCAUUGGAGCUUAUGAACUAGAUUGUACGGAGAAAUAGUACGUUUGAAGUGCAGGCCUGAAUACGAAUCCGACAUAGACAUUAGACUGGUUCACGAACUGACAUUGACUGGACACAGAAACGGGACUAAACGUGAGUUACACUGAAUCUUUAUUACCUUAUUCGCUAUGAGACUUAAUUGGGAAAACUAUAUAUAUACAAAUUAUGUACACUACAACGAGUUCCUACAAUUGCAGGAAAAUAAUAACUCCCCUUACCGUAAACCCCAAGCAACGGUCGUUUUAUUCCGGGGUUAUUAUUUUG